rnacentral:rRNA from 1 species
UACGAAGGGUGCAAGCGUUAAUCGGAAUUACUGGGCGUAAAGGGUGCGUAGGCGGUUCGUUAAGUCUGUCGUGAAAUCCCCGGGCUCAACCUGGGAAUGGCGAUGGAUACUGGCGAGCUAGAGUGUGUCAGAGGAUGGUGGAAUUCCCGGUGUAGCGGUGAAAUGCGUAGAGAUCGGGAGGAACAUCAGUGGCGAAGGCGGCCAUCUGGGACAACACUGACGCUGAAGCACGAAAGCGUGGGGAACAAACAGG